CCUACGGGAGGCAGCAGUGGGGAAUAUUGCACAAUGGGGGAAACCCUGAUGCAGCGACGCCGCGUGAGUGAAGAAGUAAUUCGUUAUGUAAAGCUCUAUCAGCAGGGAAGAAAAUGACGGUACCUGAGUAAGAAGCCCCGGCUAACUACGUGCCAGCAGCCGCGGUAAUACGUAGGGGGCAAGCGUUAUCCGGAUUGACUGGGUGUAAAGGGAGCGUAGACGGCAUUGCAAGUCUGGAGUGAAAGGGGGGGGCUCAACCCCCGGGCUGCGGGGGAAACUGGACGGCUGGAGUGCAGGAGAGGUAAGUGGAAUUCCGAGUGUAGCGGUGAAAUGCGUAGAUAUUAGGAGGAACACCAGUGGCGAAGGCGGCUUACUGGACUGUAACUGACGUUGAGGCUCGAAAGCGUGGGGAGCAAACAGGAUUAGAUACCCGAGUAGUC
rnacentral:rRNA from 1 species